GUGGGGAAUAUUGCGCAAUGGGGGAAACCCUGACGCAGCGACGCCGUGUGAGGGAAGAAGGCUUUCGGGUCGUAAACCUCUGUCAGAAAGGAAGAACCUCCCAAGUCCGAAUAGGGCUUGGGACUGACGGUACUUUCAAAGGAAGCACCGGCUAACUCCGUGCCAGCAGCCGCGGUAAUACGGAGGGUGCAAGCGUUAAUCGGAAUCACUGGGCGUAAAGCGCGCGUAGGCCGCUUUGUAAGUCGGACGUGAAAGCCCUCGGCUCAACCGGGGAACUGCGUUCGAUACUGCGAGGCUUGAGUCCUGGAGAGGGUGGCGGAAUUCCGGGUGUAGGAGUGAAAUCCGUAGAUAUCCGGAGGAACACCGGUGGCGAAGGCGGCCACCUGGACAGGUACUGACGCUGAGGCGCGAAAGCGUGGGGAGCGAACAGGAUUAGAAACCCUGGUAGUCC
rnacentral:rRNA from 1 species